rnacentral:rRNA from 1 species
AUACGGAGGAUCCGAGCGUUAUCCGGAUUUAUUGGGUUUAAAGGGUGCGUAGGCGGAUUGGAAAGUCAGCGGUGAAAGUUUUGCAGCUUAACUGUAAAAUUGCCAUUGAAACUGUCAGUCUUGAGUGCAAAUGAGGUAGGCGGAAUGUGUUGUGUAGCGGUGAAAUGCAUAGAUAUAACACAGAACACCAAUUGCGAAGGCAGCUUACUGGGAUGCAACUGACGCUGAGGCACGAAAGCGUGGGGAUC